UCUUUGGCUUCUGCGUUGGAUCCUUCAGCCUUCCGGUGUAGGCUCAUCAGCCUUCCAUUACAGACCCAUUGGCCUCCUGAUAAGGACUUGUGUGGAACGCUGCAGUGAAUUCCAGACCCUGGACUGAAUCCUUCGGUUUCCAGUGUGCAGACACCCUCUGCACGCUUCCUUAUCCAACUGUAUGGCUGACCGUGUUCUGUGGUCUGCAGCAGAUUCAUCGCCCACAGGAAGUGGGAUUUGGAGUCAGCUACAUCCUGAUUUAACACCCUUCCCACUAUUUACCACCUGGAUGAACUUGGACAAGUCACUGAGUGACUCUUGCAUUGAUAAAUGAGGCCAGCGCCAGUCCGUAGAACUGGUGUGAAGAUUAAAUGAAAAGCACUUUGCACAAUCCCUGGCACAAAGCAGGCAGUGAACACAACGGAGCUGCAUUCUCCAUUGCUACUCAGGUGCACUGUCGUCUGUGUCAGUUAUGAGUUAGUUUGAAAGGCUUUCCUUGUGAGACUAUCCCUCGGGUUUCCCACAAAAUAAGACCUAACCGGAAAAUAAUCAGCUUUGAAAACUAGAACUCAAAAAUGCCAGUCCCUGUGAGCCUAUUCCUCCUUUACCUGCCAUCACUAUUCUGCUCAGAGGCUGCUCUGUAAGGCAGGUAAGGCAAGUCCUGCAUUACCAGUGUAAGUUCUGUAUUACCUGUGCUUCUUUACAGCACAUGCGUAUGGGACCCGACUGUGGGAGGAGAUGACCUUUGCCACAUAAAUGUCAUUUAAAAAAUGGAAAAUUUAAAUCAAG